rnacentral:rRNA from 1 species
UACGGAGGGUGCGAGCGUUGUCCGGAAUCACUGGGCGUAAAGGGCGCGUAGGUGGCCCGUGGAAGUCUGCGGUGAAAGCCCGGCGCUCAACGCCGGGUCGGCCGUGGAUACUCUCGGGCUCGAGCUUACUAGAGGCAGAUGGAAUUCCGGGUGUAGCGGUGGAAUGCGUAGAGAUCCGGAAGAACACCGGUGGCGAAGGCGGUCUGCUGGGGUAAUGCUGGACACUGAUGCGCGACAGCGUGGGGAGCAACAGG